AAUUAUGUGGCUGCCAUUGUCAAAGAAGAUGGCUGCAAUGGUGGGUUGUUGGUGGCAGCCAACAACCAUUGUCUAAUGUCAAAGUUUGGCAAGUUUGGCAGCCACCAUUGUUGACAAAAGAGCUGGAGGAGCUGCCAUGGAUGCCUAUAAAUAGAGGCAUACAUUAGAGAGCAAAAUGAGAGAGAAAAGAGAGAGUGUGUAGAGCCAAAGAUGUGAGAAAUGUAGGAGAGAGUGGGCUGCCAAGGCAGCCAGCAGUAGCUGCCAUUGCAGCAUUGAGAAGAGAGAAAUAGAGUGAGGUUGAGAGUUGCCAAAUAAGGGGAUGAUUCCUCCUCCUCUAUUGUUGUAAAUCUUGUUCUCUCCCUAUAUAAUCAAUGGCUUCUCCCGUGGAUGUAGGCGGUUUGCCGAACCACGUUAAAUAUUGUGUCAGUGUGCUUAGCCUCCAAUGGGCAAAUAUCAGAACAUCACCGGUCGGAAUUCCCUACAAUUGGUAUCAGAGCAUAUGGUUUGAAGUGGUGUUUGAUUUUUGCUCAAAAAUGAAAGUUGUCAAAAUUAUGUUUUGACCAUACCACCGUGUAGAGGAGGAAGAGACGAAGCCACUGGUGAAAACGGCGUCAAAAUCGGACGUCGGACAUGGCCGCACUCUCCAUCACUCUCUGGCAAGGCGUCUGCCCACGCGCGCAGACGCGCCCCACGCGUGCCACGCGUCUUCUUCGCCCGGAUGGGUUGACCCGACCUGAAUACCAGUUGACCCGACCCAUGUGACUGACUCAGAUAAAGAUGAUGUCAGCAUGUACAGUACACAUGCCAGGGAUGACGUCAUCCUGAUGUAAUUGUGACAUCAGCAUGUACAGUAGCAUGCCAUGUCAGCGCCCAGUCAGCAGCCACGUCAGCAUAGUGGGACCACCUGCCACGUCAUCAGCCGCGAGCCGAGCUGAGUUAAGCCGAGCCGAGUUGGAGCCGAGCCGCAAGCCGAGGGACAGGAUCCAGUGUAGCUGAUCCUACGUGCAACCGGAUCUGAGAUUGAAUCUGAGCCGUUGAUCAGGCCAGAAUUGUUUUGAUCAAAUCGUAGCCGUUUGAAGUACGAUUUGGACGAUUUCAGACUUGUUUCCAGCUAAUUUGAUCGUUCCGGAUGCAAUGGUACGGUCCGAUCAUUGAGAUUGAGACCGAAAAUGGUGGUGGUGAAUUAUUGAAAGAGAUUGCCCGAUGAAGAGGCAUCUGAAGGUCAUCAUGGUGGUCGAUGGAGAUGAAGAAGGAGAAAGUGCACAUGUUUGCCCAAUUACAUGUGCUGAACUGCUAAGUGAGGAGAAAUUUUAAUUGCUUUGAAGGAAGGCAAAAUUGGGACACUCUAGACACCCAAUCAAGUGGACAAUUUGAGGUGGAGAGUGGAAAUUGAUGAAGACCAAUCUUGACGAAUCUAAGAACUGGUAGUCUCGCUAGAUGUUGAGAAAUCAGGUAUAAAACCGGGAUACCCCAUAUCACUUGUAAAGGAAAGCCGCAACAAAGCUAGCAAAUGGUUGUAUAUACGAAAAGGCAGUACGGUGGAUAGAUACGUUCUAAGAAGUUCUGUCUAGGAAAUUGGGUUUUAAGCGGGACCAGUGUGACCCCUCCAAAUCUUUCCUGGGAACUUGCUUAGUUGAAGGAUCAUCCACACAGUACUAUUUUUGUAUAUGUAACAGUUUGUAAUGAAACUGUUGAAGACUAGCAAGAUGACGGCACAAAGGAACAGUUGGGUUCCGUAUGUUCAAGGAUCUGAUGGAGUGGUGAUUUCUCCAAAGAAGUUAGAUUCGGUGACUGUAAUUUCUCGAAGGGAGAAUUCAUGAAGACCCUGAUAAUGGAAGAGAAAUACAGCAAGGGGAUAAAGAUGGCACNNNNNNNNNNNNNNNNNNNNNNNNNNNNNNNNNNNNNNNNNNNNNNNNNNNNNNNNNNNNNNNNNNNNNNNNNNNNNNNNNNNNNNNNNNNNNNNNNNNNCCGAAAUUGCCGAGAGCCACGGAGAUUGUGCAGGAGUACCCGAAGGAUCCAACGAGGUACUGUAAUGAGACAACAGAUGCAAGGAGAAGAAGAGUUCCCAGAUGAAGCUCAGAGCAGAGACUGUGUGAAAAAGUUGUACAACAGGAAGUCUCUUGUGCUCUUGAUAAAGGCAACAAGCGAGGACCUUUCCAAUGCAUGCAAGGAUGGAAAGAUGAGCUGUUGCAGAAGCACCUAAUUAAGGGGGUGCGACCACCGAUGAAAGGCGAAGACACCAAAGAGAGUUGGUGUGGGUGGAGCUAUCAAGCAGAAAGGCGUAGAAGCUCCAAACAUAGAAAUCGAGGUGGAGGAUUGCGAGGAGUAUAACGCAACUCUCUCUUUCUAUGUGAUCAGUGGCAGUGAUCUCUCCCAAGUCCACAUGAUGAUAGAGAAUCUUGGAGCCAUUGGAGACAUCCCCGAUGAAGGAGGAUGUGACCGCUUCAUGAUGACAGGCGGAGACACCUCGGAUGGAAGGUGUGAGGACCAUGAUAUGAGUCCAAGAUCAGACCGUCUCAUGAUGACAGGCGGAGACACCUCGGAUGGAAGGUGUGAGGACCAUGAUAUGAGUCCAAGAUCAGACCGUCUCAUGACGACAGGCAGAGACACCUCAGAUGGAAGGUGUGAGGACCAUGACAUGAGUCCAAGAUAAGACCGUCUCAUGACGACAGGCAGAGACACCUCAGACAGAAGGUGUGCGGACCAUGAUAUGAGUCCAAGAUCAGACCGUCUCAUGACGACAGGCGGAGACACCUCAGGAGAAGGUGUGAGGACCAUGACAUGAGUCCAAGUUCAGACCGUCUCAUGACGACAGGCAGAGACACCUUGGAUGGAAGGUGUGAGGACCGUGAUAUGAGUCCAUGUUCAGACCGUUUCAUGACGACAGGCGGAGACACCUCAUGAGAAGGUGUGAGGAUCAUGAUAUGAGUCCAAGUUCAUACCGUCUCAUGACUACAGGCGGAAACACCUCUGAUGGAAGGUGUGAGGACCUUGAUAUGAGUCCAUGUUCAGAUCGUCUCAUGACGACAGGCAGAGACACCUCAGGAGAAGGUGUGAGGACCAUGAUAUGAGUCCAAGUUCAGACCGUCUCAUGACGACAGGCGGAGACACCUCGGAUGGAAGGUGUGAGGACCAUGAUAUGAGUCCAAGUUUAGACCGUCUCAUGACGACAGGCAGAGACACCUCAGGAGAAGGUGUGAGGGCCAUGAUAGGAGCCCAAUUACAGAAUGCCCCAGAGCCAAUGUGAUGGCUGGAUAUAAGUGGACAAGUGUAUAGCCAAUAAGAGGCUAUGAUGAGUAUGGAGACAAAUGCAAGAUUGAUUUUCAUGGAUAUUGCCUCCAUGCUAAAGAUCAAUGAGCUAGAAAACAUUUACCUUGAAAAAUAAGUGGAUGACUUGUGGAGCAUUAAGACGCGACUGUUAUGAAGGAGCAGAGGGCAUGCGCAGGUUCCGGGAACAAGUUGACUCUUGUCAAGGUGGUGAGCUCAGUAAUGACAUUGUAAUACUCAGAGUAUGAAGAUAGAGAUGGAUCAACCUUUAAUGGGCUGUCCCCAUGGUUAAAAGGGAGAGCCACCUGGACUCUUGAGACUAAGAGCGGGAGACUCACGGAGAAGUAAGGCGUGGUUCCUAGGGAGGAACAAAGGGCAGACGCAACUCCGGGAUGAGUAGACUCUUGGAAGAGUGGUGAGCUUGUGAUCACAUUAAAAUACUCAAUGACUGUCGCACUUGGAAAUAUCCGUUUGAGGGGGUGUUGUAAGCCUUGGUGUAAGGCUUGAUAAAUCAUUCCGGGCCAAGCAUGGUUGAUAUGCUUGAAGGGGGAUGUUGUUCUAGAGACAAGCGUUAAACACUCUUCAGAUGAGAUAUGACAAACCAUCUGGUUGAAGUGAUCCUUUGGAGUGAGCAAAGGGGUGCUUGGAUGACUCUGGCGAUUGAAAGGUUUGGCAAGUACCUGGAAACUUGGCCAAAGACGCUCUCGGAAUGGUAAGCUUCGAAGAGCUGCAGGAUGCAAGCGUGUGCUGAAGAAGCAAGAGGACAAUUGCCCACAUAAAUGGCAAAGGGGGUGAUUGUUGGAAUAUUGCCAAUUAUGUGGCUGCCAUUGUCAAAGAAGAUGGCUGCAAUGGUAGGUUGUUGGUGGCAGCCAACAACCAUUGUCUAAUGUCAAAGUUUGGCAAGUUUGGCAGCCACCAUUGUUGACAAAAGAGCUGGAGGAGCUGCCAUGGAUGCCUAUAAAUAGAGGCAUACAUUAGAGAGCAAAAUGAGAGAGAAAAGAGAGAGUGUGUAGAGCCAAAGAUGUGAGAAAUGUAGGAGAGAGUGGGCUGCCAAGGCAGCCAGCAGUAGCUGCCAUUGCAGCACUGAGAAGAGAGAAAUAGAGUGAGGUUGAGAGUUGCCAAAUAAGGGGAUGAUUCCUCCUCCUCUAUUGUUGUAAAUCUUGUUCUCUCCCUAUAUAAUCAA
rnacentral:lncRNA from 1 species